rnacentral:lncRNA from 1 species
GAGAUAAGUUGCCGGAAAUAUUCGCCGGAGAUUUUGACGUCAAAAGACAACCGAGUAGAACUCCAUAAGAGCACAAAAACUCCAACACAGAACUCAACGAUACGAAAAAGCUUCGCAACGCUUUUGAAACUGUGGAAUAUCAGAAUCACUCUGUUUUCUAUUUUCUCGCUGCCGAAAUCGAAAGCAUCCAUUUGAAAAGCAAUGAAUACAAGCUCUUUUCAAAGAUAGAAAAGUUCACUGAUUUUGUUUUGGGAAAAUGAGUAGGGGGGAGAAGAACAGUGGAAGUAAAAGGAAGCUACGGGACUAACGCUUUGGCUUAUCACUAAGAGAAGAGAACA